rnacentral:misc_RNA from 1 species
GAUGAAGAACGCAGCGAAAUGCGAUAAGUAGUGUGAAUUGCAGAAUUCAGUGAAUCAUCGAAUCUUUGAACGCACAUUGCGCCCCUUGGUAUUCCAUGGGGCAUGCCUGUUCGAGCGUCAUUUGUACCUUCAAGCCUUGCUUGGUGUUGGGUGUUUGUCUCGCCUCUGCGCGCAGACUCGCCUCAAAACAAUUGGCAGCCGGCGUAUUGAUUUCGGAGCGCAGUACAUCUCGCGCUUUGCACUCAGAACGACGACGUCCAAAAGUACAUUUUUACACUCUUGACCUCGGAUCAGGUAGGGAUACCCGCUGAACUUAAGCAUAUCAAUAAGCGGAGGAA